UACAAAGGAGACUAGUGUUAAUCAUCUUUAUUAGGUUUAAAGGGUACCUAGACAGCAUUAUGAGCCUUACUUUAAGGGACUAUUUUGCUAGAGUUUUAUAUACAGGAGGAUAUUUGUAGUAUUGAAGGUGUAGAGAUAAAAUUUGUUGAUAUCUUCAGGACGGAUAAAGGUGAAAACAAACCUCUAUGUAUAAACAGACGUUGAGGGACGAAGGCAUUGUGUAACGAACAGGAUUAGAACCGUACCCUCGAGAGC
rnacentral:rRNA from 1 species